GGGGGGGGGCAGUCAUUACAAUCUCACAGACUGUUCUGUGUGCAAGAUUGAAAUGAAGUCCAAUUUUGAUUCAGUGUGGGCGAUGUGCUUUACAAACCUUCCAAAGAAUAAGCACUCUGCCAUCUCCCAGGCACGUCAACAAGCCCAGCCUCUCCCCAUCCCCCCCACUGCCACCACCACGGUUUAGUUUUAAUUGUGUGCUUGGUGUGUCAAACUUCAAUUUGUCACCGUUGCCCUCUCCCCUCAGGCAAGAGCACAGUGUGCUUCGCCAAGAUAGGUGCGGCUCAUAAAUGGCUCUGACGUAAUCACGAUUAUCUUUUCUCAAACGCUGCAGCUCCAGACGUGGGUGAGCAAUUUGGGAGGACUAUGGAAGUAAAUUUCUCCUUCGUUGUUUAAUUUCGAGGUGGUAAAUGCUUCAGAUUUACAACAAAACAUUGCAGUUUUGCAGACACCUCUUUCCCGUUUCAAAGAGGAAGUGUUAGCAAGUGCCACAGCUGCACCUGUUUUCCGGGGACAGACCCUCUUUCUAAUCCUGUUCCUUUGUAAAUUCAUGUUCCUACUUUGUCCUUCGGGGAGCACCUUGUUAAAAUUCUGGUAAUGCUGAGUUGCUAGCCUAGUCCUUCUGUGGGGUCAUUGUCACCGUAUUGGCUUUCUAGAAGCUGAUUCUCUGAAUGGCUGGGUGUCUGGUGCACAGGUAGGAACACUUGUCUGCCAUUAGGAAUGGGCAAAUCUGUCAGCUUUGGUUCCUCUCUCACUUUUCCCAUUCUGAAGUUCAAGGUGUUACUAUUAGUAUAGAAAGCCCUCAAUGGUCUUUUAAUGUGGCCGCGUUGCAACUUUGCUUAAUGUACACCACUUUGCAAGCUUUUUGCCCCAGUAUAGUGCAGUCUGCUUGUUAUUUUCACCAAUGCAUGAUUUUUAUGCAUAUCUUCCCCUAAAAUAGGCAUUUUUUUCAGCAUAUUAUUUGGCUGGAGAACUGCACUGUAAAAUUUGGAGAAGUGUGAAUUUCAUGUUAUUGUUUGAGAAAAGGUGAAUUAGGUACAUUUGUUUUUAAAUGAAAACUGAAACUAAUUUCUGCUCCAUCCCUGCUGCCAUCACACAUGCUGGCAUUGAUGGGCUGGAGGCUGAACAGUUUAUAACCUCUCGUAGGACAAGGAUAUGGUUUUGGCCCACACCUAUAUGGACAUGCCCAGGCUAUGAGAUCAGCUGCAGAUCCUUGUUCAUGGUUCUGCCAUUAAAAUCCAGCACACUGGCAGGCACAAGAGAGGGCGGCUCUAUCCUUGUGGAACUCCCUCCCACCAGAUGUGUGUUUUGAUUUCCUUUCUGGUAAUCUUCAAAUGGGCCUUAAAAUACCUGAUGAUUCCAACCCACUUUUAACUGAAUGCAGAUGCUGUUUUAUUAUUUUAACUACAGGUGACUGGGGGGAAUAAAUAAAUGGAGAGCAGGGAAAUCCCACUCACCAUUUGGAUAUUUCCCACCAACCCACUCAUGCACAGUUGCAAUUGCAGGCUUACCCAGUUUUGGGCAGCAGGAGCAGGAUGGCUCUGGCUCCUCCCUUACCCAGCUUUGGCAAGAUGGUGUGAGGGCUCUCUACCUUGUAGGGGGACACAGUUCUGGGAGUUCAUGGCAUUACGUGGUUUUGCAUUUACACCUGGACACCUGGAACCAAACCCUCAUGUAAAAUGGGAGCUACCUUUAUAUGGUUUUAUGAUAGACGGCUAAUAUUCUUAUGUUGUUCUUUGUUUAAUCAUACACUGCUUACUUGUCAACACUACUUAUUUGCUCAAUGUUGGCUUAUUGCAGGUGGAAAGUUAACUUACAAAGGGAAGGUGUCUUACACCAAGGGGGCCAUUGGUCCAUGUACUGUAGUACUGCCUACACUGACUGUAAGCAACUCUCAGACAGGGUCUCUCUCAGCCCUACUUGGUGAGGCCAGGGAUUGAACCUGGGACCUUCUGCAAUCACAGCAGGUACUACUGAACUAUAACCCUUCCCUGCAACAUCUCAAGGUGAUCUUGGAUUCCAAUGGUGAGGGAGUAUGGGCUCUCUAUAGGGUCACAGAUGUUUGUUUAUCAUAAUUGCAGUGUUUUCUGCAUCUGAUUUUUCUUCUUUUCUCUUCCUUUAAUCUCUGCCACAGUCAUCCUGGAGUGUCUGAAUACUGUCUUGGCACGCUCUCAUCAGUAUUCAAUUUAAAGAAACUUGCAUGCAUGGGUGAAUGGUUUGGAUUUGGGUUUUUAAAAUAACUCUAGCAUGGCCACCUGAAGUCCUAAAAAUAGAUUCUACGGUCUGCUGUCGGUUGAGGAAUUUUAGUAAGUAGAAAUGCAAUUAAUAUGUCACAGCUCUGAGCAGAGAGUUAUUUGCUUCCAGCUUCUUUGAAAAGCAAGACUGCUUUGUCAGAGAACCCACAGAAAGCGACAGCUGGCUGGGGUUAUGUAAUAAUGCCCCUCUCAUUAUCUGGAAAACAGCAAGCUAUGAACUUUUUGCAAGGACCAAAAAGAAAGGAAUCUGAUCCCCAUUUGAAAUGCUAAUGAGCUUUGGAGAGUGAAAAUUUGCAAUUUGAGGAAAGAUGGCAAGGAGCCUUGGAAAGGUCCAAAGACAUUGGAUCUCAGGAGCAGAGUGAUGUAGCAGCUAAAUUUCAGAUGAAGAAGCCCCCUCCCCCAAAAUACAUUCUGAUCAAAAUAUAACAGAAUUAUAAAACCAUAGAACUGUGGAGUUGGAAGAGAUCCUGAGGGUCAUCCAGUCCAAUCCCUGCAAUGCAGGAAUCUCAACUAGAUCGUACAUGACAGAUGACCAUCCAACCUCUGCUUGAAUACUUCCAAGGAAGGAGAGCCCACAACCUCCUGAGAGAGUCCAUUCUACUGUCAAACAGCUAGCUCUUACUGUCAGAAAACUCUUCCUGAUGUUUAGCUGGAAUCUCCUUUCCCGUAACCUGAAUCCACUUCAGGUCCUGGCCUCUAGAGCAGGAAAAUACAAGCUUGCUCUAUUUUCCAUGUGAUAGCCCUUUAGAUAUUUGAAGAUGGCUAUCAUGUUUCCUCUCCAUCACCUAUUGGGUGAAUCACCCAAUUCCCUUAACCAGGUCCAUGCCUGGUUUGCCUGAGGCCUGGAGCAAGAAUCCUCAGUUGGCUGGGAGGCCUGGGGUGGCAUGACAACAUAAGUCUGGCAGACCCCUGGAGGGGCUUCCCAGACAGCUUAGCCCUCCGAGGCCUGGGGCAAGUAUAACAGGCUCCCCCCCCCCCCACUGCAUGAGCCUGCCAUACCCAUUCUCAUAUGGCUUGGUUUCCCGACCCUUGAUCAUCUUGGUCACCCUCCUCUGCACACACUCCAGCUUGUCAACAUCCUUAUUAAAUUGUGGUGCCUAGAACUGGACACAGGACUCCAGGUGUGGUCUGACCAAGACAGAACAGAGUGGGAUUAUGAUUUCCCUUGAUUGAGACAUACUCCUCCCAUGCUUGAAUUUUAGUUUACAAACCCAAAGAGGAGAUGAUAUUCUUUGCCAUGUUUCUUCUUGCACACACAAACAAAUAUUUCAUUACUAAUUUUUUUCCUCUUCCCCAUCCCUGCCUCCUUUAGAAGUGGAGCAUGUUUUGUCCCGUUUAUUUCUAAAUGAAAGUAACACUUGACAAUCAACCUCUCGGGAGCCUUCUCGGCGCCCAAUUCAUAAUCUGUGAAUCGGAAGCCUACUGUUUUCUUAAGUGGAGGGAAAACAGCAGAAUAAAGGCCUGCUCAACAACUCUCUGCCAUUUUGCAGUUAAGUACACUUUGAAGAGAAUGAAAGAGAUGCAUUGACUUGGGAAUAAUGUUCUCUGUCUU